rnacentral:rRNA from 1 species
AUUGAACGCUGGCGGCAGGCCUAACACAUGCAAGUCGAACGAGUGGCGGACGGGUGAGUAAUGUUUGGGAAACUGGCUUAUGGAGGGGGAUAACUACUGGAAACGGUAGCUAAUACCGCAUACCAUCAGAUGUGCCCAGUGGGGAUUAGGUAGUUGGUGGGGUAAUGGCUCACCAAGGCGACGAUCCCUAGCUGGUCUGAGAGGAUGACCAGCCACAGUGGGACUGAGACACGGUCCAGACUCCGACGGGAGGCAGCAGUGGGGAAUAUUGCACAAUGGGCGCAAGCCUGAUGCAGCCAUGCCGCGUGUAUGAAGAAGGCCUUCGGGUUGUAAAGUACUUUCAGCGGGGAGGCGGUACCCGAAGAAGAAGCACCGGCUAACUCCGUGCCAGCAGCCGCGGUAAUUC